CGGGCCAGUCUCUCUCUUUCUCAUAAUGGCAGACCCUGGUUGUAAUGUUUAUAUUUUUAUAUAUUUCUAUAUAUGUCUAUUAAGAUAAUGGGUAGGAUUGUGAGUGGUGGAACCCACCCCCAAUUGUUUUCAAUUUCGUGGCCAAAGGGGGCAUACAACCUCUCAUUCUCUCUCUAUCUCCCGACAUGCUCUCCUCCUCCCUUCAGUGUUUUUUUUUUUUUUUUUUUUUUCUACUACAAAAACUUCAAUUUCUUCUUAUUUUUUGGUAUUUUUGAAUGCCGUUUACGACAAACUGAAGCUCACGGCGAGGUCUACAAGUUGAUAGGAGCAAUUCCAUGGUUGGUGCACUAUAGGAAAUUCGAAAUCUAGGGCAUAAAUUUGGAAAUUUUCAUAAUUUUGGAGGAAAUGGGAAUGAAGUGGCGGAUGACGUUUCACCACAAGCCUAAUUUGGAUUAGAAGACCAUUUUGCUAUCUAAAUCCUAUAUGUUUUUGUAAAACCUUAGUUUGUUAUAUUCGGUAUAGAGAUUGUGGACUCUUGUUAUUGUUAUUAUAUUUAUGGGUUGUAACUUUAGUAUAAGUUGUCUAAACGCUGUAAAACAUGAAUUUUAAAUCUUAACUAUAUAUUUUUGGGACUGCAAUUACGAUAAUUUGAUUAAAUGGUAUGUGAAUGUUCCACCAUGAGAUGAACUAUGUUGAUAUAUAAUGAAUGAAUAAAAGAGAUGCUGGAAUGUAUUAUAUGUUUUUUUUGUAUCAUGUGUUGGGAUAGCUUGGAUAAGUCUUGAACGGUCAGGAAGGGCUAUUGCAUUUUUUUUUUUUU